UACGUAGGGGGCAAGCGUUGUCCGGAUUUAUUGGGCGUAAAGAGCGUGUAGGCGGCCGUACAGGUCAGCUGUGAAAACUCGAGGCUCAACCUCGAGAUGUCGGCGGAAACCGUCUGGCUAGAGUCCGGAAGAGGAGAGUGGAAUUACUGGUGUAGCAGUGAAAUGCGUAGAGAUCAGUAGGAACACCAAUGGCGAAGGCAGCUUGCUGGGCCACACCUGACGCUGAGGUACGAAAGCGUGGGGAGCGAACAGG
rnacentral:rRNA from 1 species